rnacentral:rRNA from 1 species
ACACGUAAACAACCUGCCUUCAGGAUGGGGACAACAGACGGAAACGACUGCUAAUACCGAAUAAGUUCCAAGAGCCGCAUGGCCCAUGGAAGAAAAAGGUGGCCUCUACCUAUAAGCUAUCGCCUGAAGAGGGGUUUGCGUCUGAUUAGCUGGUUGGAGGGGUAACGGCCCACCAAGGCGACGAUCAGUAGCCGGUCUGAGAGGAUGAACGGCCACACUGGAACUGAGACACGGUCCAGACUCCUACGGGAGGCAGCAUG